rnacentral:lncRNA from 1 species
AUUAAUAAAAGGUUAAUGCAAAAGAAAACCAACAGGUAGACUUAAAGAGGGCACAGUAAAAUAAAAGAUGACAUUAGAUGGAAUAAAGUUAUUCCCAAAACCAUUAAUCAUCACAGAGAAGUAAAGUAAACUUUUUAAACAAAAAAAAAUCAGAAGCUAUAACCAUGGACGAAAGAGGAAGCGGGAGAAACAGGGGAAUGAUCGUCCCUUUCCUUCGAUCAAAAGGUUUUUCUCUCUCAUAAACAAAACCGAUUCCCUUCUCCACUUACAGUUACAAAGAAACCUUCACAACACAAUUCAAACAUCGGCUAAGAGUAAGAUUCGAGAAUGGCACUAACCAGCUGCAACGAAGUCGGCCAACGAAUGAGCAGGUAAGAGUCUUGCUGAAUCUUCUUCACAAUGUUCCUUUCCUACGGGUUCGUCCGUUAUCAACCACCGGUCACUUUUGGUUAUUGAAAUUUUUAGGGUUUCUCCUCUCUCUUCAGUAGCCGUCAAUACUCUUCUCUAGGGUUUUUUCGUGGUCGUCCUCUGGUGGAGGAGGAGGCUCCUUUUAUACUCACCCUGUUUAGGGUUUUUGAGCUGGCUAUGGAGAUCAAAAGGGUAAUGCUUUUGGAAGUGCUUUAGGGUGCUCACAGUUUGUCUACAUUAUUCGGUGUUUGAUCUGGAACAGGUAAUACAAAUCCUAUACUUUCUUCUUUGAAUUUGUCCUAAUUCCUUUUUGGGUUAUUUGUUAACUUUUACCGCCGGUAAAUGGCUUUUUACCGCUGUGAAUUUUAUCGGAAUAUUCAUGUGUGGUUUGAUGCUUGCAGGAGAAAACGUUGAGCUUGCGAGCAUGGCUUUGAUUUUUUUUUUGUGUUGAUGCUGUGGUGUAUGGUCUUUGGAAAAAGAGUUGUGAGAUCCUGUUGAAACUAUAGCAACUUGGGGAGCGGACUGCUGUAUGUGGCCUCCAUUAGAAGAGGCAUUUGAACUAUUGUGUUUGAUUGAUUUCUGGCGAGUUGAUCCCAUAUUGUUUAAAUUUACAUGAUCUUCAACUUGUCACUGCGUCUGGGAAGAGGAAGAAGGCAUGCUUUCCAUACCCUGCGAUUGAGAAACAGAAGAUCCAUCUAACAAACCCUUUGAUGACUCCGAUUUCGUAAAAGCUCUAGCCGAAUCAGACAAUGUUGGCCAAGAGUGUGCAUCCAUAACCGGCCGUACCUCCGAAGCUGCACCAUUGGAGGAAGGCUUAAUCCAAGCAGGUCUUGUGCAUAUAUGUUCAUAGUUGAAAAAUGGUUUCCAAUUUGUCGAACAAAUUUUGAUGGCGGUUCACAAGGUGUCAUCUAUUUAGCUUUUGCUGCACCCAAAAUCCCCGUGCUACUGAAUAUAGAAGCCUUGCAAGAGUACUCAGUUGAAGGUGUGAGGUUUUCUAAUUUGAAUCUUUUCUCGGGCCUCAAAACAAUGAAAGUCGGUUGUUCGAG